ensembl:lncRNA
CUGCAGGGUGCAGUUCUCGGCCGGGCUCAAUGUGGGCGGAGUCAAACGGUUUAACCCAAAACCUUCCCAUCUCCUUCGAGGUCACGCAAGUUGAGGUAAAGUCAAUGGUGUCAACGAAAGCGAAUCUCAAUCGAACCUAACCUACAUGGAUAGCACUAUAAACCAUGGAACAUUGCUCGGAUCUUGUCCCCUGGACCUUGGGGGACUUUUGUGGAUGAUGUUCAGGGCCUACCAAAGUAAGGUUUCUCAAGCAACUGUGAGAUGUUUGUUUUGAUGAUGAUACUGAAAACAAAAUGCACGACGAGCUGUGUCCUGGGUAUGUAGUCUACUGUGUGUAAUGCUGAAGACUUGAUGAAUGGCAAGAUAUAAUAGUUGUGAUGACUUGAGUAGUUAUAGAUAUCACUGAAAACCCCUUUAGUAAUAGGGGCUUUUGUUUGCAUUGUAUUGUGAAAGUGGAGUAUAAUUUGACUUGAUCACCCAAUGAGGCACUACUCUUAAUAUGUAUUCUUCCUUUUUCUUCAAGGAAGCAGAUGUUCUUCUAAGGGACACCCUAGAGGCAGCAAGGUGAUGUGAACUCCAAACAUUUAAAGGCACUGUUCCCCUCCCUAGUGUAAUUGGGAUGGAAGGGGAAGACCGCAUUACAACCCUUAAAGAACUACAGUUGUAUGAUGGCCUGGAUGAAGAGAAAAAUGUUCUCCUCAAGGAACCAUUCAUGUUACAGAGAGAUUAUAAUUUGUUCUAUUUGGAGGCAGUUGACAACAAGAAAAUUACUGUCUUUGUCUUUUGAGGAGCAAAGCCAUUUUUGAGGAGUGGUCAAACUUUGUCUGCUGUGUUAAUUGUUUCAAUUGUUAAUUGUGUUAUGUUUAGUAAAGAUGACGUAGAAGUCACCCGAGUCUCUGAUCUCUUCACUGGAGCUGGUAUAACUUAAUGUACAAAGCACAUUCAGCUUGUCAGUAUGUCUAUAUGGUAUAGUCUGUCUCCAUUCUCAUGAGGAAAGUAAAUAACAUUAUAAAUCAGGAUGGGUAGUAACUGUGUGUAUAUGCUCAAUUAAAUAAUAUAAUUACAAAGUUAUAACAUUUAUCAACACAAUUUUAACAGUAAAUAACAAGUCUGCUGUUCACUGCAACUAUCAGUAGUUUGUCUCAAAUAUAGCAUGAAGCAAAAAGUGUUACAUCUGCUGGUACUUGUAAGAAAUAUUAUAUAAAUCUUCAAAAAUGAAAUAUGUUUGUAUUCAACUUGUGCCUUGCGCAAAUGUGUGUUACUGUCAAACAUCAGAUGGACAAAAAAAUGUGGGCAGGGUCAAAUGUGAGCAGAGUCAAACGUUUGACUCCACCCACAUUGAACCCAGCCCCGAAUUGCACACUGCAGUCAGGGGUACUUGGACUUGCUUGCUGGUUGAGAUUUCUGCUCUUCACUCCAUUGUCAGUUUAGCCUACAUUUCACUGAUCAUAGGAGCAGAAAUGGUUUUUUAUUUGUGUCCUUCAAGGCAGCUGUCAAUGAUCACGUUAGGCUGUGUUUCAUUUGAUUUGUUAUGGCGGUUUGAUCGCAGAGGAGACACUAGUAAUGUCUGCAGUUUUCGGUUUGUCAUUUUGUUUCAAAUGUAUUAGUCUAAUAAUAAAUCUCUUCGCCAAAA